rnacentral:rRNA from 1 species
GUGGGGAAUAUUGGACAAUGGGGGCAACCCUGAUCCAGCCAUGCCGCGUGCGGGAAGAAGGCCUUCGGGUUGUAAACCGCUUUUGUCAGGGAAGAAAUCCUUUGGGUUAAUACCUCGGAGGGAUGACGGUACCUGAAGAAUAAGCACCGGCUAACUACGUGCCAGCAGCCGCGGUAAUACGUAGGGUGCGAGCGUUAAUCGGAAUUACUGGGCGUAAAGCGUGCGCAGGCGGUUUUGUAAGAUCGAUGUGAAAUCCCCGGGCUCAACCUGGGAACUGCAUUGGUGACUGCAAGGCUGGAGUGCGGCAGAGGGGGAUGGAAUUCCGCGUGUAGCAGUGAAAUGCGUAGAUAUGCGGAGGAACACCGAUGGCGAAGGCAAUCCCCUGGGCCUGCACUGACGCUCAUGCACGAAAGCGUGGGGAGCAAACAGGAUUAGAAACCCUAGUAGUCC